GGUCGAGUGGCGAACGGGUGAGUAACACGUGGGUGAUCUGCCUGCACUUCGGGAUAAGCCUGGGAAACUGGGUCUAAUACCGGAUAGGACCAUGCUUUAGUGUGUGUGGUGGAAAGUUUUCGGUGCAAGAUGAGCCCGCGGCCUAUCAGCUUGUUGGUGGGGUAAUGGCCUACCAAGGCGACGACGGGUAGCCGGCCUGAGAGGGUGUACGGCCACAUUGGGACUGAGACACGGCCCAG
rnacentral:rRNA from 1 species